UACGUAGGGGGGCCAGCGUUGUCCGGACUUACUGGGCGUAAAGCGCGCGCAGGCGGACUGGUAUGUGCCGUGUGAAAGCGCCGGGCUAACCCCGGCGAGGUCAUGGUAGACAGCUAGUCUGGAGCCUCGGAGAGGUCGGUGGAAUUCCGGGUGGAGCGGUGAAAUGCGUAGAGAUCCGGAGGAACACCAGGGGCGAAGGCGGCCGACUGGCCGAGUGCUGACGCUGAGGCGCGACGGCGUGGGGAGCAAACCGG
rnacentral:rRNA from 1 species